rnacentral:lncRNA from 10 species
AUACGUCCAACCUUGCUGCUGGAGAGAUUGGGGUUUAUUUUUAACUGACUUACAUGAACGUGACCCCAUUUCCGAGGCCUGGCGCCUUUCUCCUCCUGUAAGUCUUCGCUCGAAUGUCACCUUGCGAGGGAAGUUGUUCCUGAUCACCCUGACUAUGUCCCCUACCGGUACGAAGAAAAAUCUGCAAAACAAAUGCUUGGCCAGCCUUAAGGAAUGAAUGGCCUUAGACUGAGUAAACCACACCAAGAUCACUCCUGGAAAAUGUUUUCAAGUGUCGAAGAUGGGAUGAUCGCCCAAAAGUUCUUACUGAAACCAAAGAAGGCAAACACCACCUACUAUAUUAUAAAGGUACUGAGAGUCCCACUUGCCACUUGCUUCCUGCUUCUUGCCCGAUCGUAAAUUCUUGAUACGUGAAUUCUCUGCAAGAGUAACUU